UACGUAGGAUGCAAGCGUUUGUCCGGAAUUAUUGGGCGUAAAGAGCGCGCAGGCGGUAUGACAAGUCAGAUGUGAAAGAGGCCGGCUUAACCGGCAAGGGUCAUUUGAAACUGUCAGACUAGAGUGCAGCAGAGGAUAGUGGAAUUCCCGGUGUAGUGGUGAAAUGCGUAGAUAUCGGGAGGAACACCAGUGGCGAAGGCGACUAUCUGGGCUGAAACUGACGCUGAGGCGCGAAGGCUAGGGGAGCAAACAGG
rnacentral:rRNA from 1 species